AUUUUGGAUCUGGCUAUCUAUCAAUAUCAUUUAUUAAUAUCAGAAUACAGCCCUUUAGACUAAUGUGAGGAGGGUUGUCCAGUGUUCCUCAGCUCCUUCUGGACAGGUACAUAAUGGGACACUUCACGUUUCCUCAGCCCCUUCUGGACAGGUACAUAAUGGGACACAUCACGUUUCCCAGCCCCUUCUGGACAGGUACAUAAUGGGACACUUCACGUUUCCUCAGCCCCUUCUGGACAGGUACAUAAUGGGACACUUCACGUUUCCUCAGCCCCUUCUGGACAGGUAAAUAAUGGGACUCGUCACAUUUCCUCAGCCCCUUCUGGAUAGGUAUAUAAUGGACAGUCCACUUUACAUCAAAUCCCCCAUGGAAAGGUACAGUCCACUUUAACCACCAACACCCCUUGUCCCCAUAACGUACAUGGGACAGUCUCACAUUUCUUCUGGAAUAAGACAUGAUAGUCAUCCACGCCAGUUCACCCAAUGGGAUUACAACAGAAUGACUUGUAUUCUACUGCACAUGUCUAUAGGACUGCCUUUCUGUUUAAAACAUCUAUGUAAUGCACACUGAGCUGCUGAUGGACUUAUUGAACAUGAUACAUGUACUUCUAUGUUCUAAUUCACUAUAUUAUGCUUUUAUUGAKACUUGAAGAAUGCUGAACAGGUCCGUUGAAGGGCACUUCAAUAUGCCACUAUUUCAACAACAUAAAAUAAACCUGUAUAUUGAYACAUGUUUACCUUCUCAUCGUAUCAAAUGUGACAAUAUUACAGUACAUUGCAGCACUUGCCACUUGUCAGGUCGCCAUUGUAAACAAUGAUUUGUCUCACCUGGAUAAUUAAAUGUUAGAUUAAACAAAUAAUACAUUGUUCCUCGCCAGUUUUGCAAACCAGUUGACAACUCUAUCCAAACAGCUUCUAUCCAAACAGUAAAUGUUGACAUGUAUUAAU